rnacentral:rRNA from 1 species
UCAUAUGUACAUUCCUACAAUGUUAAUGCAUUAUAUCCGAUUGGAACUCUGCAGUUAAACACGCUUGGGAUAGAGUGGUACUAGGAUGGAUGACCUCUUGAGAACUCCUAGUGUUUUACAUGCC